rnacentral:tRNA from 3 species
GAUUAUAGUUUAAUUAAAACAAUUAAUUUGCAUUUAAUAAUUAUUGAAUUUCCAAUUAAUCUUA